UUAGCAGAGAAGGAAAAGAAAAAGCCGGAAGAACAUUUUCUUCAACUUUUUUUUUUCCUCUCUUUCCCGUGAACCCAAUAGAAGACCCAUUCCUCCAUCUUUUAUUUUUCACACCAAAAUUGCUUCAAAAUUCCAUCUCCAAUCAAUUCUCCAUCUUCUCCCAACACCUUUCCAAAGAAGAAUUUGAAGAGAAGAAUGGAAAUCAAAGAGAAAUUUCAAGGGUGAGGGGGGAGUGAAUAGUAACCAAGGGUUUAAAAUUUAAAGAAGUGGAAAGGAAAAGUGGAAGUUCCAAAGGCAAAGAAAAGGAAGAGUAGAGGAGUAAAGCUUGUAGAAUAUUUUGGAAAUUCUAAGGCUGUAGAUUCAAGAAACAGUAGAGCAAGAUCUGCAUCAAUCUAGUCAGAGUUACAUCAUUAUUGAUCUUGG